GUGGGGAAUCUUCCGCAAUGGACGAAAGUCUGACGGAGCAACGCCGCGUGAGUGAUGAAGGUCUUCGGAUUGUAAAGCUCUGUUAAUCGGGACGAAAGAGCCUAGUGUGAAUAAUGCUAGGAAGUGACGGUACCGGAAUAGAAAGCCACGGCUAACUACGUGCCAGCAGCCGCGGUAAUACGUAGGUGGCAAGCGUUGUCCGGAAUUAUUGGGCGUAACGCGCGCGCAGGCGGAUCUGCCAGUCUGUCUUAAAAGUUCGGGGCUUAACCCCGUGAUGGGAUGGAAACUACAGAUCUAGAGUAGCGGAGAGGAAAGUGGAAUUCCUAGUGUAGCGGUGAAAUGCGUAGAUAUUAGGAAGAACACCAGUGGCGAAGGCGACUUUCUGGACGAAAACUGACGCUGAGGCGCGAAAGGCAGGGGAGCGAACGGGAUUAGAAACCCGUGUAGUCC
rnacentral:rRNA from 1 species